UAUUAGGAUGUGUUGAAGUUAGUGACUGCUUGAAUAGAGAUGAAUACACUGAUAAGUAUCCAAACGGUGAGAGUGAGUCUCAGUUUGUGUUUAUAUGUCACUCGCCUCAAGAGCUGUUGAUUAAACAACCGAUCAAAGGAAAGCAUAAAUUAUGGAGACUACCAAGAGAUGUACAUAAUGCAGCUAAAAGAACACUUAAUUACAGUUCAUAAUUGUUUGUAUUAUCAAUUUUAGAUCUGUUCAUUUAUCAUGAUGCAUGCUUUGCCUUAAAAUCUUGGUUGAUUUCC